rnacentral:rRNA from 1 species
UUGACCUCAAAUCAGGUAGGACUACCCGCUGAACUUAAGCAUAUCAAUAAGCGGAGGAAAAGAAACUAACAAGGAUUCCCCUAGUAACUGCGAGUGAAGCGGGAAAAGCUCAAAUUUAAAAUCUGGCAAUCCUCGUGGUUGUCCGAGUUGUAAUUUAGAGAAGUGCUAUCUGCGUUGGACCGUGUACAAGUCUCCUGGAACGGAGCGUCGUAGAGGGUGAGAAUCCCGUAUAUGACACGGACUACCAAGGCUUUGUGAUACGCUCUCAAAGAGUCGAGUUGUUUGGGAAUGCAGCUCAAAAUGGGUGGUAAAUUCCAUCUAAAGCUAAAUAUAGGCGAGAGACCGAUAGCGAACAAGUACCGUGAGGGAAAGAUGAAAAGAACUUUGGAAAGAGAGUUAAACAGUACGUGAAAUUGUUGAAAGGGAAACGCUUGAAGUCAGUCGCGUUGUCCAGGAAUCAACCUUGCAUUUUUUGCUGGGAGCACUUUCUGGUUGACGGGUCAGCAUCAAUUUUGAUUGUUGGAUAAAGGUUAAGGGAAUGUGGCAUCCUCGGAUGUGUUAUAGCCCUUGAUUCGCAUACAACAGUUGGGAUUGAGGAACUCAGCA